rnacentral:rRNA from 1 species
UUGUUUUGAGAGUUUGAUCCUGGCUCAGAACGAACGCUGGCGGCGUGCCUAACACAUGCAAGUC